UACGUAGGGUGCAAGCGUUGUCCGGAAUUAUUGGGCGUAAAGAGCUCGUAGGCGGUUUGUCGCGGCGAAUGGGAAAACCCGGGGCUCAACUCCGGGCCUGCAUUCGAUACGGGCAGACUAGAGUUCGGUAGGGGAGACUGGAAUUCCUGGUGUAGCGGUGAAAUGCGCAGAUAUCAGGAGGAACACCGGUGGCGAAGGCGGGUCUCUGGGCCAAAACUGACGCUGAGGAGCGAAAGCGUGGGGAGCGAACAGG
rnacentral:rRNA from 1 species